CUACAAAUAGCAAUCGGCACGGUGUUAGGUGUUGGUAUGGACAUAAAGAGGACUAAUUAAUAUAACGGGAUUUUAUUGGGGCUUGAUGUUGCUUACUCCUGUUAAUCGCGUAUGGAUGAUCAGACUAUGGUUGCGGUGUGUCAUACGACGAAGUUUGUACGUGUGCAUUAGAGGAGAGAUGGACAUGUGACUGGGGAGCAUCAUGAGGACGUAAGGGACCAGUAAAGGUUUUAUAUGAAACCAGACUAUGAAAGAGUUAAACUUGUGUUGUUAUUAGAAUUAUUUGUAUGAGUUGGUGUAAUUUUGUUGUCUCGUUUCUAUUUUUGUGUUCAAUUACUCAUAGAUUUUUAAUGUAUUUGGUCGUUCAAAAAAAUAAGGUUUAAGACGCUUUUUUUCGAUUGGAAUUAAUCCUUAAUGUUGUUACAGUAUCUAUGGAUUCUUAAAUCUAUAGGUGUUCUGUUCCAAUUUUCAACUUCAAUAGGUAGCCUGUGGUUUCUGGUCCUGUUUUAUUUUACAAAUUUUAGAAAUGCAUGUGUUGUGUUUACUAAAUAUGAUUCAAAGCCGGAAUUUUCUUUUAAUCAGUUUUAAGAAAGUACAUGUAUUAUUACUACAGUUUUAAAUUGAUGAUCACCAUUCAUUUAUAAACAGGUCUUUACAAUUUUUUUAACAUAUGUUUUAAGCCAGUCAAAUCUAGGGUAACCUUGUGAGCUCAGCACAUGCAUAAUUCCACAUGUUGUUUAAAUAAAUUUUACAUUGAAAACCAGGGAUAAAGUCUAAUCGUCAAGAUGUUUGCAUCUUUUGAACAGUGACAUAUAAAUUGUUGUGGAUAGUUUUUCUUCCUAAAUGACAACUCGUGCGAUAAUGGUUAAAGGUGAUGUCCAUUAGUCUCUGUAAAAUCCGAUUGCAUACAGCUAAACAUAAACUGAUGACAUUGCAAAAUUGAUAUUAACACUGUCUAUACAAAUAUAGAUAGCACUGCCAAGUGUUAUUUGUAUUGUCGUGUGUUAGUGCCGAUUUCAGAUAACGUAUGCGCAUUUGUAACUGUUCACAUAUUGCUCAUGCGCAAACAACAUGAUCUUUUCAUGAAAAUUGGAUGAAAAGGACAUUGUUGAGCACGUUUUAACUUUUUUGAAUUUCUUGUAAAAACAAAUGAAAAGUCACGGAUUUAGUAUAUUUCAAACUAAGUACUAAAAAACGUG